rnacentral:rRNA from 1 species
UGCAUAUCAAUAAGCGGAGGAAAAGAAACCAACAGGGAUUGCCCCAGUAACGGCGAGUGAAGCGGCAACAGCUCAAAUUUGAAAUCUGGCCCCUAGGGCCCGAGUUGUAAUUUGCAGAGGAUGCUUUUGGCAAGGUGCCUUCCGAGUUCCCUGGAACGGGACGCCAUAGAGGGUGAGAGCCCCGUCUGGUUGGAUGCCGAGCCUCUGUAAAGCUCCUUCGACGAGUCGAGUAGUUUGGGAAUGCUGCUCUAAAUGGGAGGUAUAUGUCUUCUAAAGCUAAAUACCGGCCAGAGACCGAUAGCGCACAAGUAGAGUGAUCGAAAGAUGAAAAGCACUUUGAAAAGAGGGUUAAAUAGUACGUGAAAUUGUUGAAAGGGAAGCACUUAUGACCAGACUUGGACCCGGUGAAUCAUCCAGCGUUCUCGCUGGUGCACUUUGCCGGGCUCAGGCCAGCAUCAGUUUGCCCCGGGGGAUAAAGGCUUUGGGAAUGUGGCUCCCUCGGGAGUGUUAUAGCCCAUUGCACAAUACCCUGGGGCGGACUGAGGUUCGCGCAUCUGCAAGGAUGCUGGCGUAAUGGUCAUCAGUGACCCGUCUUGAAACACGGACC